rnacentral:rRNA from 1 species
GGAUUAGAUACCCUGGUAGUCCACGCUGUAAACGAUGAUCACUAGAUGUCGGGCUUCAUUAGAGGCGCGGUAUCGCAGCUAACGCACUAAGUGAUCCGCCUGGGGAGUACGGUCGCAAGACUAAAACUCAAAGAAAUUGACGGGGGUCCGCACAAGCGGUGGAACAUGUGGUUUAAUUCGACGCUACGCGAGGAACCUUACCUGGGUUUGACAUUGUUGGGAUCGAUCUAGAGAUAGAUUUUUCUUAGUUUACUAAGACUCUUCAACAGGUGCUGCAUGGCUGUCGUCAGCUCGUGCCG